rnacentral:rRNA from 1 species
CAAUAGCGUAUAUUAAAGUUGUUGCAGUUAAAAAGCUCGUAGUUGGAUUUCGGGGUGGCCUGCCUGGUCCACCGCAAGGUGAGUACUGGUCAGCCGCCCUUCCUCUCGAAAGCCCCGACUGCUCUUCAUUGCAGUGGUCGGGUAGUUCGGGACGUUUACUUUGAAAAAAUUAGAGUGUUCAAGGCAGGCCGUCGCCUGAAUACAUUAGCAUGGAAUAAUGGAAGAGGACCUCGGUCCUAUUUUGUUGGUUUCUAGGGCCGAAGUAAUGAUUAAGAGGGACAGUUGGGGGCAUUCGUAUUUAACUGUCAGAGGUGAAAUUCUUGGAUUUACGGAAGACGAACAACUGCGAAAGCAUUUGCCAAGGAUGUUUUCAUUGA